GACAGCACUUUCCAACCUUGCCAAGCUGAUUUUUUUUUUUUUUAAGCUGCAUGUGUCUUAAUGACCCUCAUCGUUCCUCCACCUGAUAGUUGCUCUGCAGCUCAUGGUCACCUCUGGCUCCUGAGCAGGAGUCACCUGUGGUACUAACUAACAGAACAGUGUCAGCAGUGGCUGUGUACUACCCUCCCCCAGUGGUGGUCCCAAAUACCAGCUGGCGGAAAGUACCUCAUUAUUGUGGACUGAGCAACUCUUGUGUCUUUCUGAAGUCCUAAGUGCUGCUGGAGCAGGUCAGAAAGGAGGAGAAGGUGGAGCGCUGGGCUUGCCUCCCCUGGGGAAGUUGAGCUGCUGCUAUUUGGGAGUGAAGAGAAAUCCUCUCUGUGUCUGCUGUUCUUAUUGUGUUGUGGAAGCUGAGAUGGAGAGAGAGGUUCUGCUGGUCAGCCUCUCAAAUGUGCCUCUGGAGCACUCCUAUGAAUUCUCUCACUUCCAGAAGCCUUUGGCUUUUGGGGGUUGUGCAGGUAUUCAUAAAUUGAGAAGUGGGACCUGUCUGCAGUUUAAGAAGGUGCUGCUUUCAUUCCUUGGGCUGGAUAUUGUUGGAAACAUCCAAAUAAUUUUGCCAGGACAGUAUCUCUGAUAAAAGCAGAUUUUAUUCGCGAUUGCAAUGGCGGGCGUCCCGCAAGCAGGAGCGCACCUAUGGACACAAGAUGACAGUCUUUAUACCCUGUUUUUCCCUUUAUCCAUCCCCCUGCCCUGUUUCCCCAUUGGCUGGGUACUCCAGGUUCACAAUCUUAUCAGUUUACGUUUGUUGAUUCGUGUGUUAUCUGGUGUAGCCAUCCUGUUGUUUCCAAGAUGUCUCGGUGCUCUUCUUGUCGUAUUGAUAUGGUGAUUGUCUCGUCUUCGUUAAACAAAGAGCUCCGGGGGGGAUGAUGCCAGGCUUCAGAUGUCUCUUCAGGGCUUCUUCGGCAUACCAUGCUUUGUUCUCUGGUUUGAUCUCGUGCAGGAUCUUCUUGCAAUGUGUGUGACAAAAUAUACAUAUAUACACCUAUAUACAGAGCGUGCAUUCCUGGGAAGGUUUGUCUAGAGGAUAAGCGAUGUAAACUAUCAGAGUUCUUCCCCAAGUUAAGUAGAAGGACUCCCAAAAGGAACUAUGACAACAGAGUUCAUGAAAUAAAAAUAUUAUCCAAUUCUAAUGCA
rnacentral:lncRNA from 1 species